UCAGACUGAAAAUGACCGCCGGUGUUUCAGUGAUCUGUGGUCAGAUAACUGUGCCUACAGUACCGUGGUGCAUUAAGCUUAUUGCGUGUGUCUUUCGGUGGCUGCGUGAUAAAACCCAUGUACCUACAUAC
ensembl:snoRNA small nucleolar RNA ACA64